CUGUGUAGCAUCUCUAUCCGAAGCUCACUUUUAUGCCUGAUAUGAGCUUAUUUAUUUUUCUUUCCAGAAGAUGAGCCAACAUUUUACAGUCGAGUCAGGAAGUGUUCUGCCCCAUGAGCAGAUUACUUCUGAUCUACAGCAGGAGACAUUUGAAGCUGCUCAGUACUGAAACCUGAAAGGUCAUAUACAACUGCCAAAUUUCUGAGGAAAUAAGGGUCAUUUUCUUUUUUUCUUUUAAAAAGGCUUUUAAGAAUCCUGUAUCCUCAUUCUACUCCAAAAUAUACCACUGUUUUUAUUUUUCCCAACAAUGAUCUCUGUAGAUAACAAAUACAGAAGACUAGCAGGUCCUCAGAUUCCAUCCAGCUGUUUCACAGGGAAAAGAAUAAAAAAAAUGUGUACACAUAUUGUUGAACUGCUCUGUGAAAUGUGAAGGCAAACUCUAAUCUGCCUUUAUCCUUGGCACCUUAAGGCAUGAUCCAUAUGCUGCAGCUACACUCAUCUGGAGUUGGUCAGUGCCUAGAGGGCAGCCUGGGAACUUUUGUAUUGUUUUCCUAAUGUUGAUGAAAGAGGAAGAAGGCAGGUAUAACAAUCAAAAUAUCAGGGACCCAGUGGCAAUCAUUCCCUUUAAAGAUGAGAGUCCCUCCUUGCAAUCAAAGAUUAUUUGUUUAUUCACAGAUCAUAACAGCUGCUCCCAGUCUCAGUCAUCUUAUUCAGCAACAAUAUUUGAUUUAUGCACAUAAGUAAAGGUGAGCCAUAUUACAAUGUACUAUAUCAUCUUUGCUUUAUAAAUAGGAGUGCAAAUAACACUCAAAGAUUGAGGUAAGAUCCUCUUUGGUAUUUUAAUAACACGUAUCUAUUCAAAAAUGUAUUCAUCUCUUGAGGAUCUUUGUUACUAAUAUAUAAAGUAGACCUUACCGUGUUUCUGAUA